AAACCAGCACCUCAAGUGGUCAGGAUGAUUAUUGGGCCUAAAGCAUCCGUAGCCUGCUCUGUAAGUUUUCGGUUAAAUCUGUACGCUCAACGUACAGGCUGCCGGGAAUACUGCAAAGCUAGGGAGUGGGAGAGGUAGACGGUACUCGGGAGGAAGUGGUAAAAUGCUUUGAUCUCUCGAUGACCACCUGUGGCGAAGGCGGUCUACCAGAACACGUCCGACGGUGAGGGAUGAAAGCUGGGGGAGCAAGCCGGAUUAGAAACCCCGGUAGUCC
rnacentral:rRNA from 1 species